GACACACCCCGUCCCGAAUGAGGGCAUGCUGGCCGUCACAUGAGAGUGACGUAACCAUUUACACAGUUCGGAAGCUUUUAAAAUACAAUUAUUAAAAUGGAAACCCUCGAGGGUGAGUCCUACUUUUGUGAUUUCUGUCAGAAUACCGUUGGAUUCCUCGUGGCCACCAAAACUCUGCUAUCAAGAACCUGGAGGGGCGAAAAACAAAAUUGAGUGGGUCAGUAAAACCAAGCUUUUCAAAAACAUUUCGCCAAAAAUAAUUCUAACCCCUCAUUGUAAAACCUGUAUACUUUUCCCAGAAAAUAGUAUAAUAACAUAAUACUUUUCAUAAAUCUCGAAUCAUCAAUUUUUCUUUAAAACCCGAAAGUAUGCCAUGUUGUAAUUUCGAAAACAAAAUAAAUGAUGCAUCAAUGUAACAGGUGAAAAGUUGAAUUAACCGGAGACCCUGCAGUUGGUCCUGUACGGUUAAUUCCAUAGCUCAACAUCCAAUCCAACCGGAGUCACCUCGAUGACCUGUACGGCACUACACUGCAGAUAAGUCGGAACUAACUGAAGUAGUCUGUACGACAUGGAUGGUGUAAUAAUACGCUCUAGUGCUUCUCUCAUCAAUCAUCUGUGCACAUAAUCUAAGGUCACCCACUAGUCGGAAUCACAUCUAGUAAUCUAUACGACUAGCAUGUCGGAACCCUCACUUGGUCUGUACGACAUCCACCUACUUGGAUCCAAGACGAGCGUGCGGUGUGGUGAAUAAUAUAAGCACUAACACCAUGAUUGCAGGUUAUGAGCUAUCCAUAAUAUACACAUCAACAAUGCACAUGAAUAAUAUAAAACUCACCUGAUACUUACCUGUGCGUCCACAGCACCAAUUCACAUAUAUAUAUGCAUCAUAUAUCAAUUCAUGCUUUUCAUAUACUUCUAUGCAUGGCAUUUCAAAUCAUACUUUUCAUAUAAAUCUAUCCAUGGCAUUUUAAAUCAUGCUUUCAUUUAAAUUCAAUUUCUGGGAAAACUCAAUAGUAUAUAGGUAAUACGAAAACAAAACUGCCCACUCACCUGGAGUUCGCCCUACAACUCCCUAGCACAACUCAUCAAGGCGUCAUGACGAUCGCCGCCUAGAACAAUAAUCAAAUCCAACCUCAGAAAUCAUAUCAAUAGAAUAUAACUUAUAUAAAAUACGUCACUACGUAGAUUGAUCCGAAAGAUCUGCAACUCAGAUUUUAAAUCCAUAACUUCCAGAGUCCACAAUAUAUCUCUAGGACAACAUCCUGAAAUUUCAUUACCAUCCAACGGUCGGAUCUCCGUCAAUUUCCAAAACUAAGUGACGGUUAACAUUUUAUUUUAUAAACUUACAACUCCAAUUCCGGAAGAUCCGUAACUCGGAUUCCCAAUCCGUAAGUUCCAAUAAUCCUCAAAUAUUACGUAUUACAACGUAUCAAAGUUUGGUGACGAUCCAACGGUCGGAUCGUCAAUUCACAUUUUCACCUAAAUGUGAAAACUAUAAAACGUUAUUUAAAGCACCUAACCAAUAAUCGUAAUAACUUUCUCAUACGGUGCUCAAUUUGGGUAUAUGAAUAUACCACAUUGACCUACUCGACGUCGACAAAUUUUUAAAAUAAUUUUUUACUGUGGCACGCGCCCCCACGCGCCAAGGAAGGCACGGGUCCACGCGCACCUUCUUCCUCGCGAGUUCGCCGGACUGGUUUUUCUCCGGUGGCCGAAUUCUGGGCAUUUUUCAAAUGCCUUGUUCUCCUUCGUUUCUCAACCAUUUUCUUCGUAUAAUAUAUCAAUUUAAAGCCCUCAACAUGUAGAAUCACAAUAUACUACUUUUAAGCUUCAAAAACAACUAAAUCUCACCGGAAAAAUCCAAGCAAAACCGGCCAAACUUAACCCUCGUGAUCCCGACGUCCAAAUCCUUCCAACGAAGCACUCCAAGCUUCCUUGGGACCUCACUAAGCUCACUAUGAGCUUGGAUUGUCCUAAAAAUCAACCAACAAAAAGUUCAUGAACAGUGCCAAAAUCGGUGCUUGGGAUUUCGAUGUGAAAUCGAAAGAUUUCUUACCUGAAAUAGGUGUGGUUGAGUUCGUAUAGUCCUCACGAGCACGAUGGUACCUUCACAACCUUCGAUCCGUGCUUGUAGGCUUGGUGGUGAGUGUGUCCGUACAAGUCGAGAGUUAAAGAGUGAGAGAAAGCCCUGAGGGAGGAGAGAGGCAGCACGGGGGAAGGAAAGGGUUGAGGUUGACCCGUGUGUGUGUUGUGUGGUCCAACAAAACCCACCAAAAUUCCAAGUCUUUUAAUUCCUUAACCACACAAAAAUACAUACCAAAUUUUAAAUCAACCUUUAAUCCAAUUUAAUUAAUUUUCCAAAAACUUAGGAACCAUGAAAUGUUCAAACAUAUCACACACACGUACCUUAAUAACCGCUAAGGGUAAAUCCGUCAUUUCACAUUCCCGUCAAAUGUAUCUCCGGGACGGGCUGUGACAAUGGGGGACUUCAAUGUAAUUAUGUAAUAAAAAAAUGGGCAAAUAUGUAAUAAGUGAGGAGCCCUUAUUCUAUAAAAGGACCCCUCACUCUCCUCAUUAGGGGAGGCCAAUUCUUAGGCCUGAUCCUCACCCUCUCCAAGCUCUCACUCUCAUAUUCAGAGCUUUCUUUCUCCCUCAGAAAUACAAUAUCAGUGUGGACGUAGCCCAAACCUUGGGGUGAACCACGAUAUAUCUUGUGUUAUUUACUUUCUUGCAGAUUCACGGUCGGAUUUACGUUGUUCCAAGACCCCUCCGAUUUUGUGCAUCACCCAUAUCAAUCAUACAUAUACAUUCAUGAGCAUCACUCAUAUCAAUCAUACAUAAACAUUCAUGAGCAUCACUCAUGUCAAUCAGCUUUGAAAGUUUCAUUUACAGAGCUCCAGCUUUCAAAGUGUCAUUUACAAAAGCUCCAACUUCAAAAGCUUCACUUGCAAAGCUUCACCUACAAAGCUUCAGUGCAUGGUCUACAAAGACCGUCUCCGAACAACCGCCUAUUCGGCCCAUACAUGGAUUCAAUUUGAAGUCUCCAACCAACAGACUCUAUUGACCGAAGACUUGGGGAACUACAUUAUGUACCAUAUAUUAGGCAUCAACUGGGCCUCAUGAAAAAUACUUUGGGGACUUAGCACAGUAUUUAUGUAUUGAGGAGCGAGCUCUUAUUUUAUAAAAGGGACUCCCUCACCAUCAUUAGAGACCAUCAACUCUAACCUAUUAUUCAUGUAUUGAGAUGCGAGCCCUUAUUUUAUAAAAUGGACUCCCUCAUCAUCAUUAGAGAGCAUCAACUCUAGCCCAUUAUUCAUGUAUUGAGGAGCGACCCCUUAUUCUAUAAAAGGGACUCCCUCACCAUCAUUAGAGAGUAUCGCUGCCUACUGAGCAACCGCCUCUCCGCGAGCAUCAACUCUAGCCCAUAUUU
rnacentral:lncRNA from 1 species